GCUCAGGUAGCUCAGUUGGUAGAGCAAUGGACUGAAAAUCCAUGUGUCGUUGGUUCGAUUCCGACCCUGAGCA
rnacentral:tRNA from 1 species